rnacentral:lncRNA from 1 species
AUGGAAAAGGUAAGGUUUAAAAUCCUGGACCCAGUUUGGAGGUCUCGAGACCUAGAGCUACGGACCCCAGGGGCUGAGAGGCUGUUGUUCAGGCCGGCGGCCGCACGGUGGCGAUGUUGCGCUGUUCCAGGGCGUGGGCGCUCACGGGUGGGGCGGGGUGGCUGGGGCCGUCUGUUGUGUUCUUGCGGCUGCCUUCUGCCGCUUCCCAGUCACCUUUCAGGUAGUGAAAUCGGUGCCUGGCUCAGGGUGAGCAUCGAAGAGGUCCCCAGCCUGAAGCCUUUCCUGGCCAGCCCUUCAGACCCUUUAGUGUCCCCACCUCCAGUCUAUAGCCAGGACCUGCUGGCUCUCUGGCACUGGGGACUGGAGGAGGACAAAUUCUCAGGGCAGGCUCUAAAGAUGGCUUUGAAGACUGAGGAGGACAGAGUGGUGACCUGUGGGCCGAGAUGGGUGCCAUCUCUAAGUGGAACUUCAUCCCAUGAGACACAACCGGCCAGCCCCAGAGACAACUGUGCAGGGCCACACAUGUGGGCAUGUCUGUCCAUACACAUGUACACAGGUAUUCUGGGGGCAGAGGGGUGUGUGCGUUGGGGAUUGUGCAGUCCUGGAAUAGACAGAAUGUGCCACAAGAACAUGACCUGGCUGCAACACCAGACGCCCCCUCCCUCCCCAGGAGCACCUGAGGGGCCUACAGACCCCAAGUCAGGUGCCUGUGACCAAACAUUGCUUUUCACUUUUCAUCAGUUUUCCAGGUUUGAGGCGUAUGUGUGUGCAUGUAUGUGUGUAUGUGGGUGUGUGUGUGUGUGCACGUGUGCAUGCAUAUAUGUGCGUGCUUGUAUGUGUGGUGUGCGUGUGCAUGCAUAUAUGUGUGUGCUUGUGUGUAUGUGGUGUGCGUGUGCAUGCAUAUAUGUGCGUGCUUGUAUGUGUGGUGUGCAUGCAUUAUGUGCGUGCUUGUGUGUGUGUGGUGUGCAUGUGCAUGCAUAUAUGUGCGUGCUUGUAUGUGUGGUGUGUGCUGUGUGUGUGCAUGUAUUGCCCACCUGCAACUGCACGUUGGGGGUGUGUGUGUGCAUAAUGUGUGUGGUGUGUGUGCAUGCAUGUGUGUAUUUGUGUGUGUUGCCCACCUGCAACCACAGGUGA